AUGUGCACGUUUGAUUUCAGACCACUGCAAUCAAAUUUGGUGGAAAUGGUGUGGGACAAGAGCGGACAGCUUCAGAAACAACAAGAAACACAUGGAUUCGCAAACCCUUUGAGUUCUCUGUCUUUCUCACCAUUUCCAAAGGUUGUGGGUAGGUUCCUCAGGUCUUGUGGAGGCCGAGAAAAAUCAAGGCCAUCCCACCUCAGGAUUAGCUUUAGCAUAAGUACAGCCAUCUCAGACCCCUGUGCCCAAGGGCUGAACUUUCCCCCACCCUGUUUUAGUAACCCCCACCCUGUUUUGGUUCCAGAAAUCCCCACCCUGCUUUAGUAACAGGAACCCAUAAAUACCCCUGCCUUAACCAAGCUCAGGGUCCAAGUCCUUACUCUGCUGUGUUGGGUAUACUUGGGCCUAAGCUUAAGCUUGUUGAAUAAACCCUCGUGUGAUUGCAUAGGUGCUUGGCUCCUUGGUGGUCUCUCGGACGAGAAAACCCAGGCACAACAGUCUGAGCUCUGCUCUUUGCAUUCAGCUCCUAGUCAAAUUGUUUUUCUAGUCAUUCUCACAUUUGGAGCUGCUGGUAGUUUAGACCACAACUCUCCAUUUGUAUAGAAACCCCAGUCCUUGGUUCUGUCCCCGGAUAACACAUUGGGAACUGCUGGUGGUUUAGGAUGCCAUUCCCCAGUUGUAUGGAAUUAGUCCAUAGUGUCCAUUCCUCAGGUACUACUAGUUCAAUGCUUUCUCCAGUCCCCAGCUCCACUUUGGUGGUAGUGGACACAGGGCCUCCUCUUGGCCAUGCCACAGUAAUAUCNNNNNNNNNNNNNNNNNNNNNNNNNNNNNNNNNNNNNNNNN
rnacentral:lncRNA from 1 species